rnacentral:rRNA from 1 species
AUUGAACGCUGGCGGCAGGCCUAACACAUGCCAGUCGAACGGUAACAGGAAGAAGCUUGCUUCUUUGCUGACGAGUGGCGGACGGGUGAGUAAUGUCUGGGAAACUGCCUGAUGGAGGGGGAUAACUACUGGAAACGGUAGCUAAUACCGCAUAACGUCGCAAGACCAAGAGGGGGACCUUCGGGCCUCUUGCCAUCGGAUGUGCCCAGAUGGGAUUAGCUAGUAGGUGGGGUAACGGCUCACCUAGGCGACGAUCCCUAGCUGGUCUGAGAGGAUGACCAGCCACACUGGAACUGAGACACGGUCCAGACUCCUACGGGAGGCAGCAGUGGGGAAUAUUGCACAAUGGGCGCAAGCCUGAUGCAGCCAUGCCGCGUGUAUGAAGAAGGCCUUCGGGUUGUAAAGUACUUUCAGCGGGGAGGAAGGGAGUAAAGUUAAUACCUUUGCUCAUUGACGUUACCCGCAGAAGAAGCACCGGCUAACUCCGUG